GUCAUUAAAGGCUGCGCAGCGGCCUUCGCUUGUUAGACGCAUGGCUGAGAGUUAAUGCCUCUGAAUGGGGGAUUGUUACUGUUGUGAAAUUUUCAUGAGAGCUGGCAACAUCUGAAAAGCUGAUCCAUAAACAAGAGAGAACGUGGGCUUGUCAGAAAGUGUCCAACGGAGAUGUCCGCUUUCAGGAAUUCUUUGACGCGGCGAAGGCAAAAGGGCGGGUGUCAGCGAAGUCAAUGUGCAUACCGCACAGCCUAUACAAGACGAUGGAGGCAUUUUACACUCAACAUCACUGUCUUGACU